AGAGUUUGAUCCUGGCUCAGGAUGAACGCUAGCGGGAGGCCUAACACAUGCAAGCCGAGCGGUAGAAGAUCUUCGGAUCUUUGAGAGCGGCGCACGGGUGCGGAACACGUGUGCAACCUACCUUUAUCAGGGGGAUAGCCUUUCGAAAGGAAGAUUAAUACCCCAUAAUAUAUUAAGUGGCAUCACUUGAUAUUGAAAACUCCGGUGGAUAGAGAUGGGCACGCGCAGGAUUAGAUAGUUGGUAGGGUAACGGCCUACCAAGUCAACGAUCCUUAGGGGGCCUGAGAGGGUGAUCCCCCACACUGGUACUGAGACACGGACCAGACUCCUACGGGAGGCAGCAGUGAGGAAUAUUGGACAAUGGGUGAGAGCCUGAUCCAGCCAUCCCGCGUGAAGGACGACGGCCCUAUGGGUUGUAAACUUCUUUUGUAUAGGGAUAAACCUACUCUCGUGAGAGUAGCUGAAGGUACUAUACGAAUAAGCACCGGCUAACUCCGUGCCAGCAGCCGCGGUAAUACGGAGGGUGCAAGCGUUAUCCGGAUUUAUUGGGUUUAAAGGGUCCGUAGGCUGAUUUGUAAGUCAGUGGUGAAAUCUCACAGCUUAACUGUGAAACUG
rnacentral:rRNA from 1 species